rnacentral:rRNA from 1 species
UACGAGGGACCUAGCGUUGUUCGGAAUCAUUGGGCGUAAAGGGUGCGUAGGCGGCCAAGUAAGUCAGUUGUGAAAGCCCCGGGCUCAACCCGGGAAGUGCUUCUGAUACUGCUUGGCUUGAGUAUUGGAGAGGUGAGUGGAAUUCCAGGUGUAGUGGUGAAAUACGUGAGAUAUCUGGAGGAACACCGGCGGCGAAGGCGGCUCACUGGCCAUAUACUGACGCUGAAGCACGAAAGCGUGGGGAUCAAACAGG